ACCUACCGAUCAUGUUGACUUCGGCAACCUGGGCUUGGUUUACUAGCCUCCCCGAGAACACCAUCGACAGUUGGGCCAAGUUGAAGGCUAUAU
rnacentral:snoRNA from 1 species